rnacentral:tRNA from 1 species
AAAUAAGAAGCAAAAUUUUGCAUUUAGUUUCGACCUAAAAAUUUGGUGAAAAAUUCACCCUUAUUU